rnacentral:rRNA from 2 species
GAGUUUGAUCAUGGCUCAGAUUGAACGCUGGCGGCAGGCCUAACACAUGCAAGUCGAACGGUAACAGGAAACAGCUUGCUGUUUCGCUGACGAGUGGCGGACGGGUGAGUAAUGUCUGGGAAACUGCCUGAUGGAGGGGGAUAACUACUGGAAACGGUAGCUAAUACCGCAUAACGUCGCAAGACCAAAGAGGGGGACCUUCGGGCCUCUUGCCAUCGGAUGUGCCCAGAUGGGAUUAGCUUGUUGGUGGGGUAACGGCUCACCAAGGCGACGAUCCCUAGCUGGUCUGAGAGGAUGACCAGCCACACUGGAACUGAGACACGGUCCAGACUCCUACGGGAGGCAGCAGUGGGGAAUAUUGCACAAUGGGCGCAAGCCUGAUGCAGCCAUGCCGCGUGUAUGAAGAAGGCCUUCGGGUUGUAAAGUACUUUCAGCGGGGAGGAAGGGAGUAAAGUUAAUACCUUUGCUCAUUGACGUUACCCGCAGAAGAAGCACCGGCUAACUCCGUGCCAGCAGCCGCGGUAAUACGGAGGGUGCAAGCGUUAAUCGGAAUUACUGGGCGUAAAGCGCACGCAGGCGGUUUGUUAAGUCAGAUGUGAAAUCCCCGGGCUCAACCUGGGAACUGCAUCUGAUACUGGCAAGCUUGAGUCUCGUAGAGGGGGGUAGAAUUCCAGGUGUAGCGGUGAAAUGCGUAGAGAUCUGGAGGAAUACCGGUGGCGAAGGCGGCCCCCUGGACGAAGACUGACGCUCAGGUGCGAAAGCGUGGGGAGCAAACAGGAUUAGAUACCCUGGUAGUCCACGCCGUAAACGAUGUCGACUUGGAGGUUGUGCCCUUGAGGCGUGGCUUCCGGAGCUAACGCGUUAAGUCGACCGCCUGGGGAGUACGGCCGCAAGGUUAAAACUCAAAUGAAUUGACGGGGGCCCGCACAAGCGGUGGAGCAUGUGGUUUAAUUCGAUGCAACGCGAAGAACCUUACCUGGUCUUGACAUCCACAGAACUUUCCAGAGAUGGAUUGGUGCCUUCGGGAACUGUGAGACAGGUGCUGCAUGGCUGUCGUCAGCUCGUGUUGUGAAAUGUUGGGUUAAGUCCCGCAACGAGCGCAACCCUUAUCCUUUGUUGCCAGCGGUCCGGCCGGGAACUCAAAGGAGACUGCCAGUGAUAAACUGGAGGAAGGUGGGGAUGACGUCAAGUCAUCAUGGCCCUUACGACCAGGGCUACACACGUGCUACAAUGGCGCAUACAAAGAGAAGCGACCUCGCGAGAGCAAGCGGACCUCAUAAAGUGCGUCGUAGUCCGGAUUGGAGUCUGCAACUCGACUCCAUGAAGUCGGAAUCGCUAGUAAUCGUGGAUCAGAAUGCCACGGUGAAUACGUUCCCGGGCCUUGUACACACCGCCCGUCACACCAUGGGAGUGGGUUGCAAAAGAAGUAGGUAGCUUAACCUUCGGGAGGGCGCUUACCACUUUGUGAUUCAUGACUGGGGUGAAGUCGUAACAAGGUAACCGUAGGGGAACCUGCGGUUGGAUCACC